CAAGAACAACAACGGAAAUUACGGAAAAAAAUGAAAUAACGGAAAUAGUAACGGAUAUAUCAGAAAUAAUAACAGAAAUAACGGAAAUAAUAACGGAAAUAAUAACGGAAAUAACGGAAAUAAUAAGGAAAAAAUAAGGGAAAGAACGAAAAUAAUAAGGGAAAGAACGGAAAUAAUAACGGAAAGAACGGAAAAAAAAAAACCCGAGAGACAGAAACAUAGAGCAGAAAAUUAGGUGACAUGUCAAAACAAUAAUGGACAUAACAGAAGAAAACGAAAUAACAGAAAUAAUAACUAAAAUAACGAAAAUAAUAACAAAAGUAACGGAAAUAAUGAAAAUAAUCUCAACAGAGACAGAAACAUACAGCAGAAAAUAAGGUGACAGGUAAAGAACAACAACGGAAAGAAUGAAAAAAAACGAAAUAACGGAAAUAAUAACGGAAAUAAUGAAAAUAAUAACAGAAAUAACGGAAAAAAUAACGGAAAUAACGGAAAUAAUAACGGAAAUAACGAAAAUAAUAACGGAAAUAUCCUCCAGAGAGACAGAAAAAAACAGCAGAAAAUUAGGUGACAGAUCAGAAACAAGAACGGAAAGAACAGAAAAAACGGAUAGAAAGUAAAGAAUGGAAAGAACGGAAAGAACCUCCUGAGAGGCAGAAACAUACAGCAAAAAAUUAGGCAACAAGUCAAAAACAACAACGGAAAUAACAAUAAAAACAGAAAUAACGGACAUAAUAACGGAAAUUACGGAAAUAAUAACGGAAAUAACCUUCACAAAGACAGAAACAUACGGCAGAAAAUUAGGUGACAGGUCAAGAACAACAACGGAAAUAACGGAAAGAAUGGAAAGAAAGGAAAGAAUGGAAAGAUCGGAAAGUACCUCCUGAGAUGCAGAAACAUACGACAAAAAAUUAGGUGACAUGUUUAGAACAACAACGGAAAUAACAGAAGAAACCAAAAUAACGGAAAUAAUAACGGAAAUAACAGACAUAAUAACGGAAAUGACGGAAAUAAUAUUGUAAAAAAUAACGGAAAGAACGAAAAUAAUAAGGUAAAGAAUGGAAAUAAUAUUGGAAAGGAUGAAAGGAACCUCAAGAGAGACAGAAACAUACAACAGAAAAUUAGGAGACCGGUCAAGAACAGCAACAGAAAAAACAGAAAAAAAAAUGAAAUAACGGAAAUAAUAACGGAAAUAACGGAAAUAAACUCCAAAGAGACAGAAACAUACAGCGGAUAAUUAUGUGACAGGUCAAGAACAGCAACGGAAAGAACGGAAAGAACCUCCACAGGGACAGAAACAUACAGCAGAAAUUUAGUUGACAGGUCAAGAAC
ensembl:lncRNA